rnacentral:rRNA from 1 species
UACGGAGGGUGCAAGCGUUAUCCGGAUUCACUGGGUUUAAAGGGUGCGUAGGUGGGUCUGUAAGUCAGUGGUGAAAUCUCCGGGCUUAACCCGGAGACUGCCAUUGAUACUAUAGGUCUUGAAUUAUCUGGAGGUAAGCGGAAUAUGUCAUGUAGCGGUGAAAUGCUUAGAUAUGACAUAGAACACCAAUUGCGAAGGCAGCUUACUACGGAUCGAUUGACACUGAGGCACGAAAGCGUGGGGAUCAAACAGG